AACGAACGCUGGCGGCAGGCCUAACACAUGCAAGUCGAGCGCCCCGCAAGGGGAGCGGCGGACGGGUGAGUAACGCGUGGGAACGUGCCUCUUGCUACGGAAUAGCCUCGGGAAACUGGGAGUAAUACCGUAUGUGCCCUACGGGGGAAAGAUUUAUCGGCAAGAGAUCGGCCCGCGUUGGAUUAGGUAGUUGGUGGGGUAAUGGCCUACCAAGCCGACGAUCCAUAGCUGGUUUGAGAGGAUGAUCAGCCACACUGGGACUGAGACACGGCCCAGACUCCUACGGGAGGCAGCAGUGGGGAAUCUUAGACAAUGGGCGCAAGCCUGAUCUAGCCAUGCCGCGUGAGCGAUGAAGGCCUUAGGGUUGUAAAGCUCCUUCAGUGGGGAAGAUAAUGACUGUACCCACAGAAGAAGCCCCGGCUAACUCCGUG
rnacentral:rRNA from 1 species